GUGAAUCAUCGAAUCUUUGAACGCACAUUGCGCCCGCUAGUAUUCUAGCGGGCAUGCCUGUUCGAGCGUCAUUUCAACCCUCAAGCCCCCGUUGGCUUGGUGUUGGGGAUCGGCCGCAAGCCUUCACGGCAGGCGGCCGGCCCCGAAAUCUAGUGGCGGUCUCGCUGUAGUCCCCCUCUGCGUAGUAAUACACCUCGCACUGGAAGCUCGGCCUGACCACGCCGUAAACCCCCCACUUCUGAAGGUUGACCUCGGAUCAGGUAGGAAUACCCGCUGAACUUAAGCAUAUCAAUAAGCGGAGGA
rnacentral:rRNA from 1 species